CGCCUCCUGAACAAAAAUAGGAGGUCUAGCCUGCCCAGUGACCACAGUUCAACGGCCGCGGUAUCCUAACCGUGCGAAGGUAGCGUAAUCACUUGUUCUUUAAAUGAGGACUAGUAUGAAUGGCAUCACGAGGGUUAUACUGUCUCCUCUCUCCAAUCAGUAAAACUAUUCUUCCCGUGAAGAAACGGGAAUGCUUUUAUAAGACGAGAAGACCCUAUGGAGCUUUAAAUUUUAUUUCAACUGCUCUCUCAUGUGAACCGCCCCGACCUAUUACACUUAGCUGAGCAUAAUGAUAAUAAAUUUUAGGUUGGGGUGACCGCGGAGCAUAAAAAAACCUCCGCAUAGAACAGGCCUAAGCCUUGAACAAAGAGCUACAACUCCAAGCACUAAUACAUUAACAUCCAUUGACCCAAUAUUUUUGAUCAACGAACCAAGUUACCCUAGGGAUAACAGCGCAAUCUACUUUGAGAGCUCCUAUCGACAAGUAGGUUUACGACCUCGAUGUUGGAUCAGGGUAUCCCAGUGGUGCAGCCGCUACUAAAGGUUCGUUUGUCAAC
rnacentral:rRNA from 1 species